UACCAGCACCCCGAGUGGUCGGGACGAUUAUUGGGCCUAAAGCAUCCGUAGCCGGUCCUGCAAGUCUUCCGUUAAAUCCAGCUGCUCAACAGAUGGGCUGCGGGAGAUACUACAGGGCUAGGAGGCGGGAGAGGCAAGCGGUACUUUAUGGGUAGGGGUAAAAUCCGCUGAUCCAUGAGAAGACCACCAGUGGCGAAGGCGGCUUGCCAGAACGCGCUCGACGGUGAGGGAUGAAAGCUGGGGGAGGCAAACCGG
rnacentral:rRNA from 1 species